AACGAACGCUGGCGGCAUGCCUAACACAUGCAAGUCGAACGAGACCUUCGGGUCUAGUGGCGCACGUCUGCGUAACGCGUGGGAACCUGCCCUUAGGUUCGGAAUAACUCCCCGAAAGGGGUGCUCAUACCGGUUAAUGUCUUCGGACCAAAGAUUUAUCGCCUUUGGAUGGGCCCGCGUUGGAUUAGCUAGUUGGUAGGGUAAAAGCCUACCAAGGCGACGAUCCAUAGCUGGUCUGAGAGGAGGAUCAGCCACACUGGGACUGAGACACGGCCCAGACUCCUACGGGAGGGAGCAGUGGGGAAUAUUGGAAAAUGGGCGAAAGCCUGAUCCAGCAAUGCCGCGUGAGUGAUGAAGGCCUUAGGGUUGUAAAGCUGUUUUACCCGGGAUGAUAAUGACAGUACCGGGAGAAUAAGCUCCGGCUAACUCCGUG
rnacentral:rRNA from 1 species